AUGGGCGCUCCCGUCGCGAUAAAUGGGCCUAUCGGCGAGCGAGCCAUCACUUGCUCACACUCACAGUGGAGCACUGGAGCAGCAGAACAGAGCGAGCGAGUGAGAGCAGAGAGCAUGGGCUCAAUGGCGGCCAGCGUGGAGGAGAUCGGUGCGGCGGCGGCGCCACAGGCGGUGGAGCGCCGCCUGGGCGAGCUGCGGGCGACCUUCGAGAGCGGCAGGACCCGGCCCCUGUCGUGGCGGCAGUCCCAGCUGCGCGGCCUCCUCCGGCUCCUCGCCGACAAGGAGGAGGAGGCGUUCCGCGCGCUCCACGACGACCUCGGCAAGCACCGCGCCGAGGCCUACAGAGACGAGGUCGGCGUGCUCACCAAGUCGGCCAACGCCGCGCUGCGGGAGAUCGGGAAAUGGGCGGCGCCGGAGAAGGUCUGGGUGCCGCUGGUGGCGUUCCCGGCGAGCGCGCAGGUGGUGCCGGAGCCGCUCGGGGUCGUCCUCAUCUUCUCCUGCUGGAACUUCCCCUUGGGUCUGUCUCUGGAGCCGCUGAUCGGGGCCAUAGCGGCGGGGAACGCGGUGGCGCUGAAGCCGUCGGAGCUGGCGCCGGCCACGGCCAGGUUCCUGGAGGAGAACAUAGGCGAGUACCUGGACGCCACGGCGGUGAAGGUCAUCCAGGGCGGCCCCGCGGUGGGGGAGCAGCUCAUGGAGCACAGAUGGGACAAGGUCCUCUUCACCGGGUGCCCGCGCGUGGCGCGCGUGGUGAUGGCGGCGGCGGUGAAGCACCUGACGCCCGUGGCGCUGGAGCUGGGCGGGAAGUGCCCCUGCAUCUUCGACGCCGUUGCCGGCAGGAGGAACCUCCAGACCUCGGUGAACCGCGUGAUCUUCGCCAAGUGGUCGUCCUGCGCCGGCCAGGCCUGCAUCGCCAUCGACUACGUGCUCGUCGAGGAGCGGUUUGCGCCCACCCUGAUCAAGUUGCUCAAGUCGACGCUGAAGAGGUUCAUCGCCGACUCGGACCAGAUGGCGCGGAUCGUCAACGGGCGGCAUUUCCAGCGUCUGAGUAACCUCCUCAAGGACCCGGCGGUGGCGGCGUCCAUCCUGCACGGCGGCGGCUUGGACGCCAAGAACCUGUCCAUCGAGCCCACGAUACUGCUGAACCCGCCGCUGGACUCCGCGAUCAUGACCGAGGAGAUCUUCGGCCCUCUGCUCCCCAUCAUCACGGUGAAGAAGAUCGAGGACAGCAUCGCGUUCGUGAGGGCGCGGCCGAAGCCGCUGGCCGUGUACGCCUUCACCGACAGCGCGCCGCUGAAGCGGCGGAUCGUGGAGGAGACGUCGUCGGGGAGCGUCACCUUCAACGACGCCGUCGUACAGUUCGGGGUGGACACGCUGCCGUUCGGGGGUGUGGGGCAGAGCGGGUUCGGGCAGUACCACGGCAAGUACUCGUUCGAGAUGUUCAGCCACAAGAAGGCGGUGCUGCGGCGGGGCUUCCUGGUGGAGGCCAUGCUGAGGUACCCGCCGUGGGACGAGCAGAAGAUCGCCAUGAUGCGCCACCUCUUCCGCUACGACUACGUCCGCUUCAUCUUCACCUUCCUCGGCCUGCGGAGAUGA
rnacentral:rRNA from 1 species